AGUCAUCAACCCCUCCCAUUUUCUGUGGUUGGGUUUGGAACUGGGGGCCUGCGGCCGUGAGGAUCGCUCCCCUCAAAUGUUUUGGUUGGGCCUGUGGGUCGAACUCGGUUGGGCGUUGUACCAUCCUCGCUCUUGUCCGAGAUGUUCCCCUUUGAUUGAGCCCCUCCUGCGACCGCCUCCUUGGAGUGGUGGCCAAGCUUAUUUGAAAU
rnacentral:misc_RNA from 1 species